rnacentral:piRNA from 1 species
GACACUGGCUGAGUGCUUCACUUCUGU